AUGGUAGCCAUGUGGACCCCCUACCUGGUGGCCGGUGGUGGCCACGGGGACCCCUGCCCAUGGUUGACAGUGGCCACAGGACCCCCGUCUGACGGUUGGUGGUGGCCACAGGACCCCUGCCCGAUGGUUGGUGGCCACCCUGCUGCCACACACGGGGAGGGGCCAUCGGGGUGUCCCCGUCGGUCCCCGCGGGGGGGGAGCAGCCCCGGAGCAGCCCCCCCGGCCCUGGCAGCGCCGCCGGCCCCGGCUCUUCCUGCUCAGCUCCUGGGGGGGGCAGCAGCGAGCUGCGGAACACGGCGCGGCCCCCCCCGGGGAGGGGAGGGGGCACACGGGGAUGGAGGGACAGAGGGAUGGGGGGGCACAGAGAGGGGGGGGCACAGGGACAGGAGAAUUAAGGGACCUGGGGGUGCAGGGGGUGACAGAAGGGCUCGGGGUGCAGGGAGCAAGGGACAAACGGGGGCAGACAGAGGGGGGGGGGCACACCUGGCAGGACAGAGGGACUCGGGGACAGGGGGACACGGGGGUGGGGAGGUGCUGCAGGCCCCCAGCCCUGCUCACGGCUCUGAGCCAGCUGGGACAGCUCGGACCCCCCCACGGCACCGCCCGGCCGGGCGAGGGACCCCAGGGGACACAGGGGGAGGAGGUCGGGGGGCGAGUGGCCCCCACCGCCCGGCCACCAGCUGCCCCCCAGGUGCAGAACAGAAACCCUCGUGGCUUCUCUGGGGGCUGCUAUGGAUGAAGCCCCCCCCCAGAUGUGAGCGCAGGGCCUCCCUCCCCAUGCGUGGUGCUUUUUGGGGUGUCCCCCCCCCAAAAAAAAUGGAGCUGUGGGGUUUCACAGCCCCGUCCCGGAGGCACCGAAAGGGAUGGGAAAAGGGAAAAGCGAGGAAGGGGCAGCGGGGCUGGUGGGGGGGGCGGGGGGCAGCCAACGCUCAGCUUCUGGGGGGGCUUCGGGGUCCUGAUGAGCGAGGCUCAUCCCCACCUUGGGGACGGGGGGUGACCUUGAUGGGGGGGAGGCCGGGCAGUGUCCUGGGGACAACCCGCAGAUGUGUUCCCGGUGGUCCCAAACGUCCUGGUGGGGAGCCUGGGGGCCCCCCCACAGCCGCUGGGCUGUGGAUGUGGCCGUGCCCCCCCUGCUGCCCCCUCCCCACCUCACCGUGCUGUGCCUUGGUGUCCCACGUCCUGGUGGCCACAGGUUGGGGUGGUCCUGGUGGCCCCGUGCCGGAUCCGACCCCAUUGUCCCCCAACCCCCCUGUGGACAUCCUGGGGGGCAGCAGAGCCCCCCCCACCCCUCACCCUCCUGGUGCUGAGCGGAGAAGCUGUGGGGGGCGCUGGCAGAGCUGGAGGGGUUAA
rnacentral:lncRNA from 1 species